rnacentral:rRNA from 1 species
UGGGGAAUAUUGGACAAUGGGCGAAAGCCUGAUCCAGCCAUGCCGCGUGUGUGAAGAAGGCCUUUUGGUUGUAAAGCACUUUAAGUGGGGAGGAAAAGCUUAUGGUUAAUACCCAUAAGCCCUGACGUUACCCACAGAAUAAGCACCGGCUAACUCUGUGCCAGCAGCCGCGGUAAUACAGAGGGUGCAAGCGUUAAUCGGAAUUACUGGGCGUAAAGCGCGCGUAGGUGGUUAUUUAAGUCAGAUGUGAAAGCCCCGGGCUUAACCUGGGAACUGCAUCUGAUACUGGAUAACUAGAGUAGGUGAGAGGGGAGUAGAAUUCCAGGUGUAGCGGUGAAAUGCGCAGAGAUCUGGAGGAAUACCGAUGGCGAAGGCAGCUCCCUGGCAUCAUACUGACACUGAGGUGCGAAAGCGUGGGUAGCAAACAGGAUUAGAUACCCUGGUAGUCCACGCCGUAAACGAUGUCUACCAGUCGUUGGGUCUUUUAAAGACUUAGUGACGCAGUUAACGCAAUAAGUAGACCGCCUGGGGAGUACGGCUCUA